rnacentral:lncRNA from 1 species
UACGGCAGCUUUAGGGAGGUGCUCUGAGACCCGAAACUAGACUCGACUUUAACAGACACAGACGACCCUGAAGAUGGAAAUGUUUUCUUCCAAAUUGUGCUGCACGUUUUUGGCGAGAGCAUGGGGCUGUGCGGCGUCCCCUCCCUGGCGCCCACCUGUGCCCUGCACACUGGCCUGCACUGUGGUGAUCUCGCUUGGCCCCCACCUGAUUCCCGACAUACAGCAGAGGAAGCUUAGGCUCAGGUGGAACAGCCUCAACUGAUUCUGUCCCUGAACUUCCGUACACAGCCCUGGAGUCGUCUUAGAGCCAUGAUUUAUUUAACUGUUCUUUCAUUUUACAGAACAUAAAAUGUAUUGUUUCCAACUUUUUUCCUAUGGUAAAUAAUACUAAAGUAAAUAUCUCUGUGCAUGAAUCUUUUUGUAUAUGUUGGAAUAUCCUUAAGAUAAGGCCCCAGAACUAAAAGUACCCUGUCAAAAGGUGAGCAUUUCCGGUUCCCCUGCUGUGCUUUGCUGCGUUGUUCUCUCCUGCUGCAACGUUCUCACUCCACAAUCCUGGGGCAGGGAGGGGAGGCCCAGCUGAGUUUGGAUCAUAAUCCUGAAAGACACAAUCCCAAGCACCAUAAUGUGGAAUGUUGAAAUCCCUAAAGAUCAAAAUCCCUCAAGUCUAAAAUCCCUGAUAUUUCAGAUGACCACAGCUACAGGGCUAGGUGCACACAAUUAGUAACCGUAGCGAUAUACGUGUACACGUUUCUCUUUUGACUUAUUUCUUUAUGGUCUGUCUUCUUAUAACUGCUACACCCAUGCCGCCGUCGUUAGUUACCUCAGUGUUUAUGCAAAAAUACCUGUUAUCAUUGCCUAUUUUAUUGUGUAAAGUGGCCUAUGAAAUGUUCUGUUGUGUUUUUAUGUUUCUCAAAUACAUACCUUUUAAAAAUGUAAAUAAAUAACAUCGACAUUAUUUUUUCCAGAUUUAUACUUUUGGGAUUUUGAUCUUUGGGAUUUCAGGAUGAGGUAUUCGGAGCUGUGUCUUUGGGGAUGAUGACCGGCUCCUGUGCCGUCCCACCCAUCUUUGCGGCAUGGGACCUUGGCAUCCCCACCUCGGCCCUGGCUCUACCUGACCUCACAAUGGACCAGGCCAACUCAGUCAAUGUGGAGUCAGCAUCAGGUAGACCUGGGGCUGAAACUCAACACUGGUGUUCACCUUGACCUAGCUUCUCUGAGCCUCAAGUUCCUCAUCUGGACACCAGUGGGGUUAGGGGCUGAGGCACAUCAGCACUAAGCAGGAGAGCUCAUCGUUGCCAUGCAUCAGCUGUGGCUCUAGAGCCGAGACGCUCCCAGCCGUGUAGGCUUCCCAGCAGUGCAG